CAUCUUCUCCUAGUUUUACUUUCAAGUUACAUUCAUCUUAUCUCUUGCUAAAAUUGCAUUGCAUAUACUUAAUAUUCUGUCUUAACCCCUACUUAAGCGAAAACCCUUUGUUUUUAAACUCUAUCUUCUAUACAAGAAGUUCUUCUAAAAUGAUAAUCAAUAACCAGCUAGCCAAAAUGGCUCAAAAUGCAACCAUGCUGUCCAAUCUCUUUGUAUAUUAGAAACUGAGAUUCCCUUGAAACAACUGAGUGGAGCUCCAUAGAGAACCCACUUGAAUACAAUUGUUUCCUAACAGAUGUAGGGUGUAGACAUUUCGAUCAUGUGAACCAUAGAUGCACAAAAACAGCACACUGCCAUAAAAUAUGGGCAUUUUUGACUUGUUGACUUUGGUACUCAGAUAUUUGGUAAUAAGCUAGGCUUAAUUCUUUGUGUCGAUAACACUGAUAAUUUAUUUGCUAAAAUGCAGGAUUCUGUGGUUAUGCUUGAGUUUUAUGGGCUUUCCUGUUUGGUUUGGCAACCUGAUGAAGCUAACAUGUAAACCAGUUAUAUGCCUGGCCUCUAUAUACUCAAGAGGGAGAGUGGGAAAUUACAGUUGCUAUGUCCGAAAUAAAAUAAUUUUCUGUGGACUAAUUCUGAAGCUGUUGUCGAGUGACUGAUAGUCUGAUAUGCUUGCUAUAACU